rnacentral:rRNA from 1 species
GGCUUCAUACAUGCAAGUCGAGGGGCAGCAUAAAUUACUUGUAAUUUGAUGGCGACCGGCGAACGGGUGCGUAACGCGUAUGCAACUUACCUUUUACUAGAGAAUAGCCAAGAGAAAUUUUGAUUAAUGCUCUAUACACUUAUUAAUUCUCAUGAAUCUAUAAGAAAAGCUCCGGCGGUAAAAGAUGGGCAUGCGUCCUAUUAGCUUGUAGGUGAGGUAACGGCUCACCUAAGCUCCGAUAGGUAGGGGUCCUGAGAGGGAGAUCCCCCACACUGGUACUGAGACACGGACCAGACUUCUACGGAAGGCAGCAGUAAGGAAUAUUGGACAAUGGAGGCAACUCUGAUCCAGCCAUGCCGCGUGAAGGAAGACGGCCUUAUGGGUUGUAAACUUCUUUUAUACAGGAAGAAACCUUUCCACGUGUGGAAAGCUGACGGUACUGUAAGAAUAAGGAUCGGCUAACUCCGUGCCAGCAGCCGCGGUAAUACGGAGGAUCCAAGCGUUAUCCGGAAUUAUUGGGUUUAAAGGGUCCGCAGGCUGUUUGUUAAGUCAGAGGUGAAAUCCUACCGCUCAACGGUAGAACUGCCUUUGAUACUGGCAAACUUGAGUUAUUGUGAAGUAAUUAGAAUGUGUAGUGUAGCGGUGAAAUGCAUAGAUAUUACACAGAAUACCGAUUGCGAAAGCAGAUUACUAACAAUAUACUGACGCUGAGGGACGAAAGCGUGGGUAGCGAACAGGAUUAGAUACCCUGGUAGUCCACGCCGUAAACGAUGGUCACUAGCUGUUUGAUGUACAUUGGUACAUUGAGUGGCUAAGCGAAAGUGAUAAGUGACCCACCUGGGGAGUACGC